rnacentral:rRNA from 1 species
CAGCCGCCGCGGUAAUACGUAGGUGGCAAGCGUUGUCCGGAAUUAUUGGGCGUAAAGGGCUCGCAGGCGGUUUCUUAAGUCUGAUGUGAAAGCCCCCGGCUCAACCGGGGAGGGUCAUUGGAAACUGGGAAACUUGAGUGCAGAAGAGGAGAGUGGAAUUCCACGUGUAGCGGUGAAAUGCGUAGAGAUGUGGAGGAACACCAGUGGCGAAGGCGACUCUCUGGUCUGAAACUGACGCUGAGGAGCGAAAGCGUGGGGAGCGAACAGGAUUAGAUACCCCUGUAGUCCCUGUCUCUUAUAC